rnacentral:tRNA from 2 species
GCGGAUAUAGCUCAGUGGUAGAGCGCUGUCCUUCCAAGUCAGAUGUCGCGCGUUCGACUCGCGUUAUCCGCU